CUGUUCUCUGCACCUUUAGCAUUGGAUAAAGAUGCGCUUGUUUCCACUGUAAGGAUUUAAAAUGGCUGACACAAAAAUCAUAUUAAAGUCUAUAACUUGUGAAAUAGAGCUAAUGCAUUCACAGUUACAAGGUAGCUAUUAGUAUUAUAGAUGCCUGUUAUUCUGCAGAAGUUUCAUUGCUCUAGGAGGAAGCAGAACGUUUUUCUACGAAAUAAAAGGUCCCGCUAGUAGCUAUCACUGUUGUAUCCAUGAGUUUAGCUUGUAAUUCUUCUUAUAUAUGUAAAUUAUAGUUAAUGCAAUGGUUUUUAACUUACUUUAUACCUGUAUUUGGCAGGUAUCUUGAGCUUUCAUGAUGGCCACAAUUUUGACUCAUAUUUGUACUCAUUUGAACUGUGUUAAGCACCUGGUUGGCUAUUUUGGCAUUAUAGAUCAAGGUUAUUGUGAGGAUAUAGACAUUGAUUCCAAUUAUUUUCUUCCUGGCUAGAGAUAUCAUGAUUUAUUACAAUUUUUAUAGUAAUAAAUUUUAAUCAAUUUAAUUACACUUAAUAAUUUAAAAAAUUGUAACUUCAGUAUUCUUUGGAUUACAAUCAUGAAAUUUUGGUAUGUCGUACUUAAAAGGUGUCUUUACAAGAUAGUUGUUGUCUUAUAACUAUUCCUCGUGGCAGAAUGUUUUGCUAAGAAAUAGCAUGUCCAGAAAUGAGUGGAUACGGAUUAGUAUACAAAGCAAUUUUCUCCGUAUAUUAUUAAAUUCAUUUAUACAGGGCAGCAAUGGGCUUAUCCUAUAUCUCUCCUUACAAGACAAACUAUCAAAAUGUGAGCAUAUGUGGCUAUUCCUAAACAUUAUACUGGUGUUCUUGCUGAGUUUCAUCUAGAUUGGAGAAACUUUGUGUGGAACAUUUCCUGUUUGAUUGAGGGGUAGUCAGAUUCAGACGUCGCCAUUUUCCCAUUCAUUUUAUAUGUAAAAUUUCACUCAAUAAAUUUCAAUUUUUUGUAUAGUUAUAACAAAAAAUAUAUAAAGUUUUGACAAAAUGUGAGCAUAAUUUGUGAUAGCACAACAUUUUUACAACCCAAUGGUACAAAAAAA